GAAAUGCGAUAAGUAGUGUGAAUUGCAGAAUUCAGUGAAUCAUCGAAUCUUUGAACGCACAUUGCGCCCCUUGGUAUUCCAUGGGGCAUGCCUGUUCGAGCGUCAUUUGUACCCUCAAGCUCUGCUGGGUGUUGGGUGUUUGUCCCCGUCUCCGCGCGUGGACUCGCCCCAAAGUGAUUGGCAGCCGGCGUUCUGGUCCCGGAGCGCAGCACAUGUCGCGCAAACGAGUGCCUUGGUACGGCGGCGUCCAUAAGCCCCUCUCUCACGCUCUUGACCUCGGAUCAGGUAGGGAUACCCGCUGAACUUAAGC
rnacentral:misc_RNA from 1 species